rnacentral:piRNA from 1 species
UUUUGUCAUCAAUGCAACAAA